rnacentral:rRNA from 1 species
GACGAACGCUGGCGGCGUGCCUAAUACAUGCAAGUAGAACGCUGAAGGAGGAGCUUGCUUCUCUGGAUGAGUUGCGAACGGGUGAGUAACGCGUAGGUAACCUGCCUGGUAGCGGGGGAUAACUAUUGGAAACGAUAGCUAAUACCGCAUAAGAGUAGAUGUUGCAUGACAUUUGCUUAAAAGGUGCAAUUGCAUCACUACCAGAUGGACCUGCGUUGUAUUAGCUAGUUGGUGGGGUAACGGCUCACCAAGGCGACGAUACAUAGCCGACCUGAGAGGGGGAUCGGCCACACUGGGACUGAGACACGGCCCAGACUCCUACGGGAGGCAGCCGUAGGGAAUCUUCGGCAAUGGACGGAAGUCUGACCGAGCAACGCCGCGUGAGUGAAGAAGGUUUUCGGAUCGUAAAGCUCUGUUGUAAGAGAAGAACGAGUGUGAGAGUAGAAAGUUCACACUGUGACGGUAUCUUACCAGAAAGGGACGGCUAACUACGUG